GACAGAGGGUGCAAACGUUGUUCGGCAUUACUGGGCGUAAAGCGCGUGUAGGCGGCUCUGCAAGUCGGGUGUGAAAUCCCAUGGCUCAACCAUGGAAGUGCACUCGAAACUGCAGGGCUAGAGUCCUGGAGAGGAAGGUGGAAUGCUUGGUGUAGAGGUGAAAUUCGUAGAUAUCAAGCGGAACACCGGUGGCGAAGGCGGCCUUCUGGACAGUGACUGACGCUGAGACGCGAAAGCGUGGGGAGCAAACAGG
rnacentral:rRNA from 1 species